rnacentral:rRNA from 1 species
GACGAACGCUGGCGGCGUGCCUAAUACAUGCAAGUAGGACGCAGUUGCGAACGGGUGAGUAACGCGUAGGUAACUGCCUAUUAGAGGGGGAUAACUAUUGGAAACGAUAGCUAAUACCGCAUACUAGUAGAUGGACCUUCGUUGUAUUAGCUAGUAGGUAGGGUAAUGGCCUACCUAGGCAACGAUACAUAGCCGACUGUGCAGGGUGAUCGGCCACCCUGGGACUGAGACACGGCCCAGACUCCUCCGGGAGGCAGCAGUAGGGAACCUUCGGCAAUGGGGGGAACCCUGACCGGGCAACGCCGCGUGAGUGAAGAAGGUUUUCGGAUCGUAAAGCUCUGUUGUUAAGGAAGCGGUACUUAACCAGAAAGGGACGGCUAACUACGUGCCAGCAGCCGCGGUAAUUC